CAAAAGGGUGGCUAAGAAUGCCUUUAAGACAACUUGUGAUAGGAAAGCAAAGAUUGCAAUGCCAUAUGGGCAGAAAACAGCCCAGGCCAGCGCGUCGCCGUCUCAACGCCGCCGCAUCACAACUCCCCGGAAGCCACCUCCACCACGGUUUGUUCCUCAUCGCCCAGUCACCCGCAGCAGGAGCAAGCAACAGACCAAAUGUUAAGCUUCCAACAUCCAGUGGGAGCAGUUCUGCGAGCAGGACGCAGGACGCCUAUAUUGUUGUUAGCUAGUUAUAAGGUUUGUAAUAGCCGCGUUCGGCUUUGGCAUCUUGAGCAAAUUAAUGGCACUUUGAGGCAAUGUGCGAUUUCAACUUAUUACAGAUAAUGUAAUCGAGAUUAGAAUCACAUUUCUCCA